rnacentral:tRNA from 1 species
GACGCAGUGGCCUAAUGGUUAGUGCGCUGGACUUCGGACCGAGCGGUCCGGGUUCACGCCCUGGCUGGGGUGACU